rnacentral:lncRNA from 1 species
AUAGCAGUGUGAGAAUAGACUAAUACACAGUCCAUCAGGGUAUUGGGAAGACUGUGGUUUGCAAGAACACAGCAACAUCAGUGGAUGCCUUUUGGAUGGUGAUGGCCUUGUGUUAACUGCCUGCAGCUGAUGAACGUGGUGGGGAACAUGCUGCAUUUCCUACCUGCCUUUGUGUGCAGGUGAAGCAACCAGUCUCGAAGCACUACGCAGGAGUGAUGAUGAUCUGCGACACCUGCAUCUACUCAGGCAGCCUGCUGAGCCCCAGCCAUAGCUGGAUCUGUGACGAGCUCACGGGCAGCAGGGGUCUGACACAAUGGGGACCUACAUCGUGGACCUGCUGACCCACCCGACCUUCUGGAGAGAUGAGAAGUUGCACACACUGUCAAGACAUACAUGAGGCAGAGUGCCACCAUCUGUGGCAUCCAGCAUGUCACCAUUGAUGACUUCUGUUUCAAAAAAAAAAAAAAAAAACUACCUGCCGAAACAGGAUUCAACACUGUGUAAAAGAAGGAAACAACUUCACAACAUCAAGAUACUAAGCAAUGUAGCAGUUACAACUAUACAAUAAAAAAUUACUAGACACAUGAAGAUUCAACAAAAUAUGAUCCAUACCAGAAGAAAAAUCAGUCAAUAGAAUCAGAAAUGACAGAGAUCAUGGAAUUAGCACAAAAAAAACCAUUAAAACAGCUAUUACUAAUAUAAUUAAGAAUUUACAAGAAAAUAUGAACAUAAGAAAAAAUGAAGAUAUGAAAAACAAUGAAAUGCAGCUUUUAGACUUAUGUAAUGCAAUAUCUGAAAAAAAUUUAAAUCACUGUAGGAGCUUAAAGCAAAUUUAAUGUAGAAGAAAAGAUUGAUGACCUUGAAGACAUAGCAAUAGAAGCUAUUCAAGCUGUAGCACACAGAGAAAAAUACACCAAAAAGCCAAACUGCUAUGAGUGUCUGCAGAAAUAAACUUCAGUAGAUGUGUAACUCCAAGGACUGUAGGUAGUGGAAUUGA